rnacentral:rRNA from 1 species
AAACUUUCAACAAUGGAUCUCUUGGUUCCGGCAUCGAUGAAGAACGCAGCGAACUGCGAUACGUAAUGUGAAUUGCAGAAUUCAGUGAAUCAUCGAGUCUUUGAACGCACAUUGCGCCCCCUGGUAUUCCGGGGGCAUGCCUGUCCGAGCGUCAUU